rnacentral:rRNA from 1 species
GACAGAGGCCCCGAGCGUUAGGCGGAAUCACUGGGCUUAAAGCGUGUGUAGGCGGACCCCUAAGUGUCUUGUGAAAUCCCACGGCUCACCCGUGGAACUGCUGGGCAUACUGGGGGUCUUGGGCCGUUCAGAGGCGAGUGGAAUUCCUGGUGUAGCGGUGAAAUGCGCAGAUAUCAGGAGGAACACCGAUUGCGAAGGCAGCUCGCUGGGACGUAACUGACGCUGAGACGCGAAAGCGUGGGGAGCAAACAGG